rnacentral:rRNA from 1 species
GAAUCUGGCUUCAGGUCGGGGACAACCACUGGAAACGGUGGCUAAUACCGGAUGUGCCGCAAGGUAAAAGGCUUGCCGCCUGAAGAUGAGCUCGCGUCUGAUUAGCUAGUAGGUGUGGUAAGAGCGCACCUAGGCGACGAUCAGUAGCUGGUCUGAGAGGAUGAUCAGCCACACUGGGACUGAGACACGGCCCAGACUCCUACGGGAGGCAGCAGUGGGGAAUUUUCCGCAAUGGGCGAAAGCCUGACGGAGCAAUACCGCGUGAGGGAGGAAGGCUCUUGGGUUGUAAACCUCUUUUCUCAGGGAAGAACACAAUGACGGUACCUGAGGAAUCAGCAUCGGCUAACUCCGUGCCAGCAGCCGCGGUAAUACGGAGGAUGCAAGCGUUAUCCGGAAUGAUUGGGCGUAAAGCGUCCGCAGGUGGCUGUGUAAGUCUGCUGUUAAAGAGUGAGGCUCAACCUCAUAAAAGCAGUGGAAACUACACAGCUAGAGUGCGUUCGGGGCAGAGGGAAUUCCUGGUGUAGCGGUGAAAUGCGUAGAUAUCAGGAAGAACACCGGUGGCGAAAGCGCUCUGCUAGGCCGCAACU